AGUGAACGCUGGCGGUAGGCCUAACACAUGCAAGUCGAACGGCAGCACAGUAAGAGCUUGCUCUGACGGGUGGCGAGUGGCGGACGGGUGAGGAAUACAUCGGAAUCUACUUUUUCGGGGGGGAUAACGUAGGGAAACUUACUCUAAUACCGCAGACGACCUACGGGUGAAAGCAGGGGAUCUUCGGACCUUGCGCGAUUGAAUGAGCCGAUGCCGGAUUAGCUAGUUGGCGGGGUAAAGGCCCACCAAGGCGACGAUCCGUAGCUGGUCUGAGAGGAUGAUCAGCCACACUGGAACUGAGACACGGUCCAGACUCCUACGGGAGGCAGCAGUGGGGAAUAUUGGACAAUGGGCGCAAGCCUGAUCCAGCCAUACCGCGUGGGUGAAGAAGGCCUUCGGGUUGUAAAGCCCUUUUGUUGGGAAAGAAAAGCAGCAGGUUAAUACCCCGCUGUUCUGACGGUACCCAAAGAAUAAGCACCGGCUAACUUCGUG
rnacentral:rRNA from 1 species